rnacentral:rRNA from 1 species
AGAGUUUGAUCCUGGCUCAGAACGAACGCUGGCGGCGCGUCUUAAGCAUGCAAGUCGAACGGUAAGGGAGAGCUUGCUCUCCCCUAGAGUGGCGGACUGGUGAGGAACACGUGGGUAAUCUACCCUUAAGAUGGGGAUAGCUGCUAGAAAUAGCAGGUAAUACCGAAUACACUCGGCAUAUCACAAGAGAUGUUGAGGAAAGGAAGCUACGGCUUCGCUUGAGGAUGAGCUUGCGUCCCAUUAGCUAGUUGGUGAGGUAAAGGCCCACCAAGGCAACGAUGGGUAUCCGGCCUGAGAGGGUGAACGGACACAUUGGGACUGAGAUACGGCCCAAACUCCUACGGGAGGCAGCAGCUAAGAAUAUUCCGCAAUGGACGGAAGUCUGACGGAGCGACGCCGCGUGGAUGAAGAAGGCUGAAAAGUUGUAAAAUCCUUUUGUUGAUGAAGAAUAAGGGUGAGAGGGAAUGCUUCUCUGAUGACGGUAAUCGACGAAUAAGCCCCGGCUAAUUACGUGCCAGCAGCCGCGGUAACACGUAAGGGGCGAGCGUUGUUCGGAAUUAUUGGGCGUAAAGGGCAUGCAGGCGGGUCGCCAAGCUUGGUAAGAAAUACCGGGGCUCAACUCCGGAGCUAUAUUGAGAACUGGCGAGCUAGAGUUGCCGAAGGGUAUCCGGAAUUCCGCGUGAAGGGGUGAAAUCUGUAGAUAUGCGGAAGAACACCGAUGGCGAAGGCAGGAUACCGGCGGACGACUGACGCUGAGGUGCGAAGGUGCGGGGAGCAAACAGGAUUAGAUACCCUGGUAGUCCGCACAGUCAACGAUGUA